rnacentral:tRNA from 1 species
GGGAAUGUGGCUCAGUGGUAGAGUGCUUGCCUAGCAUGCAUGAAGGGGUUUGAUUCCUCAGUACCA